CGUGGUUCGUCUUGCGGGCGCCCUCGCCGACCUUAGGCAGCGCGAGGUCAACGCCGAAGGGCAGGUCGGGGCUUUUCAGGUAUGAUUUUAACUCUGUGAGCAUCUCGUCGAGCUGGUCAGGGGUGUAGCCCAGUCCGCCGACAGUGCCCAGGCCUCCUGCAUUGGAGACUGCGGCGGCAAGGGGACCGCCUGAUGUCCGGGCCAUACCGGCCAAGAGUAUGGGGUGUUGGAUGCCGAGGAGGCUUGUGAGCGGAGUGGUUAUUUGAGACAUGGUAAAUAUGUGGUGAGAGGAGACAGUUUCCAGAGGGGAGGGGGGGGUUUAAGUUGUCAAGCUUUCAGAUAUAUCUAUUAUUUGGAGGGCUCGGUUGUACGUGGGAGCUCGCAGUUUUUAUCAAUCGGGAAAUCAAUGGGAAUAUAAAAUGAAGAGCACUCGGAGGCGGAGCUUUCAAUGGCUAUAUAUAGCUGCUGACUUUCGUCCCGA
rnacentral:sRNA from 2 species